rnacentral:rRNA from 1 species
GCAAAUUACCCAAUCCUGACACAGGGAGGUAGUGACAAGAAAUAACAAUACAGGGCGAAUGUCUUGUAAUUGGAAUGAUGGUGACCCAAACCCUCACCAGAGUAGCAAUUGGAGGGCAAGUCUGGUGCCAGCAGCCGCGGUAAUUCCAGCUCCAAUAGCGUAUAUUAAACUUGUUGCAGUUAAAAAGCUCGUAGUGUAUUUUUGCGUUGACGGUUUGACCAUUUGGUUGGUUAUUUCGUUUUCGCUUUUGGGAAUUUCCCUUUUUACUUUGAGAAAAUUAGAGUGUUUCAAGCAGACUUUUGUCUUGAAUACUUCAGCAUGGAAUAAUAGAGUAGGACUUUGGUUCUAUUUUGUUGGUUAUUGAACCUUAGUAAUGGUUAAUAGGAACGGUUGGGGGCAUUCGUAUUUAAA